GACGAACGCUGGCGGCGUGCCUAAUACAUGCAAGUUGAGCGCUGAAGGUUGGUACUUGUCCCUACUGGAUGAGCAGCGCACGGGUGAGUAACGCGUGGGGAAUCUGCCUUUGAGCGGGGGACAGCAUUUGGAAACGAAUGCUAAUACCGCAUAAAAACUUUAAACACAAGUUUUAAGUUUGAAAGAUGCAAUUGCAUCACUCAAAGAUGAUCCCGCGUUGUAUUAGCUAGUUGGUGAGGUAAGGGCUCACCAAGGCGAUGAUACAUAGCCGACCUGAGAGGGUGAUCGGCCACAUUGGGACUGGGACACGGCCCAAACGCCUGCGGGAGGCAGCAGUAGGGAAUCUUCGGCAAUGGACGAAAGUCUGACCGAGCAACGCCGCGGGAGGGAAGAAGGUUUUCGGAUCGUAAAACUCUGUUGGUAGAGAAGAACGUUGGUGAGAGUGGAAAGCUCAUCAAGUGACGGUAACUACCCAGAAAGGGACGGCUAACUACGUG
rnacentral:rRNA from 1 species